UACGAAGGGGGCUAGCGUUGUUCGGAAUCACUGGGCGUAAAGCGCACGUAGGCGGAUCUUUAAGUCAGAGGUGAAAUCCUGGAGCUCAACUCCAGAACUGCCUUUGAUACUGGGGAUCUCGAGUCCGGGAGAGGUGAGUGGAACUGCGAGUGUAGAGGUGAAAUUCGUAGAUAUUCGCAAGAACACCAGUGGCGAAGGCGGCUCACUGGCCCGGUUCUGACGCUGAGGCGCGAAAGCGUGGGGAGCAAACAGG
rnacentral:rRNA from 1 species